AUAACAUUGUCAAUGGUAGUAAAGAGAAAUUACAAAAUUCAUGGAGGUUAAAAAACUAGGUACAGGUAGUAAAGGAAGGUGAAGGGAAAUUAACGUAGUUGAGAGUCUGAUGUUGGAUUGGAUUGCAGAUGUGAAAAUUGAAAUAGUUGAAGUUACGCCUCAACUAGAUUUGUUGAGAGAGAAAGAGGCGCAGAGAGAAGAGAACAGAAGUGAGCUACGAUGCUAAUCAUAAGGUCUCUGCGGUACCCAUUUCUCCUGGCCUUGAUCUCUCUGCAUCUGCAACUCCUUUCGGGUAUCUCUACUCUUUUUCAUGAAUUUGUGUCUUGCUGUUGGGAGAGAAUGCCAUGAAUGCUGAUUUGAGGGUAUAGAACAAUUUAUGAUUUUGAUUUUUAGGGUUUUAUGUGCAAUAAAAUGAAAUACAACAAGUGGUCUAUGUGGAGAUUCUGAUCAUUUGCUCAUCAUUGUUAACAAUGUUACCGAGGCCUAGACAACAAUCCUUCAGAUGCCAAAAAUGAGAAUGAAUAUAUGAAUCAUCAUGCUUCAAGAAGCUCUGUGGGGUUCAAGAUAAUUAUUAUAUGUCUUGGUAUGGUGACAGUCAUAGCAUUCUGUGUUUUUCUUUUCAAAUUAUGGCAAAGGAAGAAGAGAGAAGAGCAGCAUGCUCGUCUUCUGAAGCUGUUUGAAGAUGAUGAUGAACUUGAGGUGGAACUCGGUAUGCGGGAUUGACAAUUUAUUGCCGGAUUGACAAUUUAUCCAAUUCCUUCUUUAUUGAAAACUUCACUUUCAUGUCAACAAGGCUAUGUGAUCUUUUACCAUUCAAAUCUGGCAGUGGUCAUUUUGAAAAGUUAAAAUGGGGCAUUUGCUUGUCACCAGUUUGGUAGUCUCCUGGUUUAGCCGGGGAGAUUUAGGGUUCAAUUCUUGUCUUCUCACCUGACAUGAGCAAGAUGAAGCAGGUUUAUAUUUUGUUCUUGUAUACUUAUUUGUAAAUCAUAUAUAUUGGUUCUACUUCAUAAGGUGAUGUCAAUUAAUAAAAAAAUUAUUUGAUGUGAGAA